UCUCUGAUAGCUCAGUUGGUAAAGAAUCUGCCUGCAAUGCAGGAGACCCUGGUUUGAUUCCUGGGUUGGGAA
rnacentral:tRNA from 1 species